rnacentral:lncRNA from 1 species
AUUGGAGAGAUGUCCUGCAGUGCUGCCUCCACAGCCUGAGAGAAGAUCCCUGGUGAUAGCUACAGGUCAUGUUUCUAGAGCCCAUUCAGCUCUCCCAGCGCUUCUCUACCAUACAUGGCAGAUUGCAAGACAGCAGCAGCAGCUUCUACAGCAACAACACAAAAUCAAUUUGCUCCAGCAACAGAUCCAGGUUCAAGGUCAGCUGCCGCCAUUAAUGAUUCCCGUAUUCCCUCCUGAUCAACGGACACUGGCUGCAGCUGCCCAGCAAGGAUUCCUCCUCCCUCCAGGCUUCAGCUAUAAGGCUGGAUGUAGUGACCCUUACCCUGUUCAGCUGAUCCCAACUACCAUGGCAGCUGCUGCCGCAGCAACACCAGGCUUAGGCCCACUCCAACUGCAGCAGUUAUAUGCUGCCCAGCUAGCUGCAAUGCAGGUAUCUCCAGGAGGGAAGCUGCCAGGCAUACCCCAAGGCAACCUUGGUGCUGCUGUAUCUCCUACCAGCAUUCACACAGACAAGAGCACAAACAGCCCACCACCCAAAAGCAAGGAUGAAGUGGCACAGCCACUGAACCU